GUGCCAGCCGCCGCGGUAAUACGGAGGGUGCAAGCGUUAAUCGGAAUUACUGGGCGUAAAGCGUACGUAGGUGGCUUGGUAAGUCGGAUGUGAAAGCCCUGGGCUUAACCUGGGAACUGCAUCCGAAACUGCCUGGCUAGAGUAAGGGAGAGGGAAGUGGAAUUUCCGGUGUAGCGGUGAAAUGCGUAGAUAUCGGAAGGAACACCAGUGGCGAAGGCGACUUCCUGGCCCAUUACUGACACUGAGGUACGAAAGCGUGGGGAGCAAACAGGAUUAGAUACCCUGGUAGUCCACGCCGUAA
rnacentral:rRNA from 1 species